GGGAAAAUGCAACUUACCAGCCAGACCACUCAAUUGUCACCAGGCUGAAAGGUGGCAAAAUAACUCCUCUUGGAGGUGCUGAGGUAGCAACACAAUGCUGGUCCAUGGUAAUGGUUUAAACAGGCUCCCAGAUAAGAAAGAUGGCUCAUGGCUAUUACUUAGAAAUCAGGAAAAUAGAUGUAGCAUGUAUUCGUCAGUGCCAAGCUAUCUCCUGUACCUGUUUCAUCUUUCUUGAAGAGGACUAGCCAGAACUGUAUACUUGGGUGUGACAAGUAUGCAGUUUAAGA